UACGUAGGGUGCAAGCGUUGUCCGGAAUUAUUGGGCGUAAAGAGCUCGUAGGCGGUUUGUCGCGUCUGCUGUGAAAAUCCAGGGCUUAACCCUGGACCUGCAGUGGGUACGGGCAGACUAGAGUGCGGUAGGGGAGAUCGGAAUUCCUGGUGUAGCGGUGAAAUGCGCAGAUAUCGGGAAGAACACCCGUGGCGAAGGCGGCUCUCUGGGACGGUACUGACGCUGAGACGCGAAAGCGUGGGGAGCGAACAGG
rnacentral:rRNA from 1 species